CCUACGGGAGGCAGCAGUGAGGAAUAUUGGUCAAUGGGCGUAAGCCUGAACCAGCCAAGUCGCGUGAGGGAUGAAGGUUCUAUGGAUCGUAAACCUCUUUUAUAAGGGAGUAAAGUGUGGGACGUGUCCUAUUUUGUAUGUACCUUAUGACUAAGGAUCGGCUAACUCCGUGCCAGCAGCCGCGGUAAUACGGAGGUUCCGAGCGUUAUCCGGCUUUAUUGGGGUUAAAGGGUGCGUAGGCGGCCUUUUAAGUCAGCGGUGAAAGUCUGUGGCUCAACCAUAGUAUUGCCGUUGAAACUGGGGGGCGUGAGUAUGUGUGAGGCAGGCGGAAUGCGUGGUGUAGCGGUGAAAUGCUUAGAUAUCACGCAGAACCCCGAUGGCGAAGGCAGCCUGCCAAGCCAUGACUGACGCUGAGGCACGAAAGCGUGGGGAUCAAACAGGAUUAGAUACCCGGGUAGUC
rnacentral:rRNA from 1 species